rnacentral:rRNA from 1 species
GAUGAACGCUAGCGGCAGGCCUAAUACAUGCAAGUCGAACGGUGUCUUCGGACAUAGUGGCGCACGGGUGCGUAACACGUAUGCAACCCACCUUACAUUGGGGGAUAGCCUUUCGAAAGGGAGAUUAAUACCGCAUAAGACAGUAGCUGGGCAUCCAGCAGCUGUUAAAGAUUUAUCGAUGUAAGCUGGGCAUGCGUCCAAUUAGCUAGUUGGUGAGGUAACGGCUCACCAAGGCAAUGAUUGGUAGGGGAACUGAGAGGUCAAUCCCCCACACUGGCACUGAGAUACGGGCCAGACUCCUACGGGAGGCAGCAGUAGGGGAUAUUGGGCAAUGGACGCAAGUCUGACCCAGCCAUGCCGCGUGCAGGAUGAAGGCGUUAUGCGUUGUAAACUGCUUUUAUACAGAAAGAAACGACUCUUGCGAGAGGCAUUGACGGUACUGUAUGAAUAAGCACCGGCUAACUCCGUGCCAGCAGCCGCCGCUGUAA